rnacentral:lncRNA from 1 species
ACACAUCAUUCUUAGACUUGAAUGAACUUCUUGUUUGUUUUCUUAGUUGACAGGCCCUACAUACUCUGUCUCUUUAGUUCAUCUUAGGUAUUCUUUUAACUAGUUCCUUGUUAAUCAAUUUGGAGAUUAAGUCUAUACUUGCAUGUCCUAACUUACGAUGCCAUGACUAACUAGUUUCAUUGUCUUUUGCAUUUGUGACUACUAGACAUUGACUACUUUUUACAAAUUCAUCUAAGUUUAUCAUAUAAACAUUACCAUGCAUGUGUCCUGCAAAAAUAGUGUCAUUAUUUGUUGAAUUAGCUAUGGUGCACAGUGAGGCUUCAAAAGUGACUUUGAAACCUUUAUCACACAAUUGACUAAUACUAAUUAGAUUCUGCUUCAAUCCAUCUACAUAUAAAAUAUUAUCUAUAAAUAUAGAAGGAGAGAUCUGAAUUUUACCAAUACCAAUGAUUUGACCUUGGCCAUUGUCACCGAAGGUUACAACUCCUCCUUCUUUUGACUCGAGGGUGAUGAAUUGAUCCUUGUCCCCGGUCA